rnacentral:rRNA from 1 species
AACGAACGCUGGCGGCAUGCCUAACACAUGCAAGUCGAACGAGACCUUCGGGUCUAGUGGCGCACGGGUGCGUAACGCGUGGGAACCUGCCCUUAGGUUCGGAAUAACUCCCCGAAAGGGGUGCUAAUACCGGAUAAUGUCUUCGGACCAAAGAUUUAUCGCCUUUGGAUGGGCCCGCGUUGGAUUAGCUAGUUGGUAGGGUAAAAGCCUACCAAGGCGACGAUCCAUAGCUGGUCUGAGAGGAUGAUCAGCCACACUGGGACUGAGACACGGCCCAGACAGGGGGGGGGGGGAGGAGUGAGAAAUAGGAAAGAAGGGGCGAGGGCGUAGACAAGAAGGGGCGGAGGAGUGAGGAGGACGGGGGGGUUGUAAAGCUCGUGGACCGGUGAAGAAAAGGAGAGGGCGGGGGGAACAAGCCCGGGAGACCGCGGUGCCGGGAGGGGAGGUAAUGGCGGAAGAGCACACGCCUAAC